UACGAAGGGGGCUAGCGUUGCUCGGAAUCACUGGGCGUAAAGCGCACGUAGGCGGCUUGUUAAGUCAGGGGUGAAAUCCUGGAGCUCAACUCCAGAACUGCCUUUGAUACUGGCGAGCUUGAGUUCGGGAGAGGUGAGUGGAACUGCGAGUGUAGAGGUGAAAUUCGUAGAUAUUCGCAAGAACACCAGUGGCGAAGGCGGCUCACUGGCCCGAUACUGACGCUGAGGUGCGA
rnacentral:rRNA from 1 species